rnacentral:rRNA from 1 species
UACAGAGGUGGCAAGCGUUGUUCGGAAUUACUGGGCGUAAAGGGCGCGUAGGCGGUCUUGCAAGUCCUGUGUGAAAUCCCUCGGCUCAACUGAGGAACUGCACAGGAAACUGCUUGGCUUGAGUUCGGGAGAGGGAAGCGGAAUUCCGGGUGUAGCGGUGAAAUGCGUAGAUAUCCGGAGGAACACCGGUGGCGAAGGCGGCUUCCUGGACCGACACUGACGCUGAGGCGCGAAAGCUAGGGGGCAAAGCAGG